rnacentral:misc_RNA from 1 species
UGUGGGAGCUGGCUUGCCUGCGAUGCAGACACCUCGGUGUAGUUGAUGCACCGAGUCGAUGCCAUCGCAGGCAAGCCAGCUCCCAAA